GACGAACGCUGGCGGCGUGCUUAACACAUGCAAGUCGAACGGAAAGGCCCUGCUUUUGUGGGGUGCUCGAGUGGCGAACGGGUGAGUAACACAUGAGUAACCUGCCCUUGACUUUGGGAUAACUUCAGGAAACUGGGGCUAAUACCGGAUAGGAGCUCCUGCUGCAUGGUGGGGGUUGGAAAGUUUCGGCGGUUGGGGAUGGACUCGCGGCUUAUCAGCUUGUUGGUGGGGUAGUGGCUUACCAAGGCUUUGACGGGUAGCCGGCCUGAGAGGGUGACCGGCCACAUUGGGACUGAGAUACGGCCCAGACUCCUACGGGAGGCAGCAGUGGGGAAUAUUGCACAAUGGGCGGAAGCCUGAUGCAGCAACGCCGCGUGCGGGAUGACGGCCUUCGGGUUGUAAACCGCUUUCGCCUGUGACGAAGCGUGAGUGACGGUAAUGGGUAAAGAAGCACCGGCUAACUACGUGCCAGCAGCCGCGGUGAUACGUAGGGUGCGAGCGUUGUCCGGAUUUAUUGGGCGUAAAGGGCUCGUAGGUGGUUGAUCGCGUCGGAAGUGUAAUCUUGGGGCUUAACCCUGAGCGUGCUUUCGAUACGGGUUGACUUGAGGAAGGUAGGGGAGAAAUGGAAUUCCUGGUGGAGCGGUGGAAUGCGCAGAUAUCAGGAGGAACACCAGUGGCGAAGGCGGUUCUCUGGGCCUUUCCUGACGCUGAGGAGCGAAAGCGUGGGGAGCGAACAGGCUUAGAUACCCUGGUAGUCCACGCUGUAAACGGUGGGUACUAGGUGUGGGGUCCAUUCCACGGGUUCCGUGCCGUAGCUAACGCUUUAAGUACCCCGCCUGGGGAGUACGGCCGCAAGGCUAAAACUCAAAGGAAUUGACGGGGCCCCGCACAAGCGGCGGAGCAUGCGGAUUAAUUCGAUGCAACGCGUAGAACCUUACCUGGGUUUGACAUGGAUCGGGAGUGCUCAGAGAUGGGUGUGCCUCUUUUGGGGUCGGUUCACAGGUGGUGCAUGCCUGUCGUCAGCUCGUGUCGUGAGAUGUUGGGUUAAGUCCCGCAACGAGCGCAACCCUUGUUCACUGUUGCCAGCACGUUAUGGUGGGGACUCAGUGGAGACCGCCGGGGUCAACUCGGAGGAAGGUGGGGAUGACGUCAAGUCCUCAUGCCCCUUAUGUCCAGGGCUUCACGCAUGCUACAAUGGCUGGUACAGAGAGUGGCGAGCCUGUGAGGGUGAGCGAAUCUCGGAAAGCCGGUCUCAGUUCGGAUUGAGGUCUGCAACUCGACCUCAUGAAGUCGGAGUCGCUAGUAAUCGCAGAUCAGCAACGCUGCGGUGAAUACGUUCCCGGGGCU
rnacentral:rRNA from 1 species